CUCCUAGUACGAGAGGACCGGAGUGGACGCAUCACUGGUGUUCGGGUUGUCAUGCCAAUGGCACUGCCCGGUAGCUAAAUGCGGAAGAGAUAAGUGCUGAAAGCAUCUAAGCACGAAACUUGCCCCGAGAUGAGUUCUCCCUGACUCCUUGAGAGUCCUGAAGGAACGUUGAAGACGACGACGUUGAUAGGCCGGGUGUGUAAGCGCAGCGAUGCGUUGAGCUAACCGGUACUAAUGAACCGUGAGGCUUAACCUUACAACGCCGAAGCUGUU
rnacentral:rRNA from 1 species